UGGGUUCAGAACGUCGUGAGACAGUUCGGUCCCUAUCUGCCAUGGGCGUUGGAGAUUUGAGAGGGGCUGCUCCUAGUACGAGAGGACCGGAGUGGACGAACCUCUGGUGUUCCGGUUGUCACGCCAGUGGCAUUGCCGGGUAGCUAUGUUCGGAAGCGAUAACCGCUGAAAGCAUCUAAGCGGGAAGCGCGCCUCAAGAUGAGAUCUCCCGGGGCACAAGCCCCCUGAAGGAACCAUGUAGACUACGUGGUUGAUAGGUCAGGUGUGUAAGUACAGCAAUGUAUUGAGCUAACUGAUACUAAUGAUCCGUGCGGCUUGACCAUAUAACCUCA
rnacentral:rRNA from 1 species